rnacentral:rRNA from 1 species
GUUGCAUGGCUGUCGGUUCAGCUCGUGUCGUGAGAUGUUCGGUUAAGUCCGCUAACGAGCGCAACCCUCGCUGUGUGUUACAAGUGUCACACGGAACUGCCGGUCAUAAACCGGAGGAAGGUGGGGAUGACGUCAAGUCAGCAUGGCCUUUAUAUCCUGGGCUACACACACGCUACAAUGGGAAGGGACAAUAGGUUGCGAAGCCGCGAGGCGGAGCCAAUCCAGCAAAACUUCCCUCAGUUCAGAUUGCAGGCUGCAACUCGCCUGCAUGAAGUUGGAGUUGCUAGUAAACGCAGGUCAGCCAUACUGCGUUGAAUACGUUCCCGGGGCUU